GGAGAGUGUAGGCUGCUGUCUUCCCAGAUGCCCCAGUGUUUCUCAAGCAGCAGUGGGGGCGACAACUUGGACCUCACCCGUGUGCUUCUGCGGAAGUUUAGAGAUCAAGAUUUGCCCUGUGCAGAUUUAAACCCACGCCAGAAGAAUUCUUCAUGCUGGCGCACAGAUCCCUUUUCUCACCCAGAAUUCCAGGAUUCAUGUGGCUGCCUGAAGUGUCCAAAUAGAAGUGCUAGUGCUCCCUACCUGACCAACCACCUGGGCCACACACUGUUGAAUCUCUCAGGCUUCAAUAUGGAGGAGUACUUGCUGGCACCAUCUGAAAAACCAAGGCUUGGAGGUUGGUCUUUUGGAUUAAAAAUCCCCAGUGAAGCUGGAGGUGCAAAUGGAAACAUAUCAAAACCCCCAACUCUGGCAAAG
rnacentral:lncRNA from 10 species